rnacentral:rRNA from 1 species
CCUACGGGAGGCAGCAGUGGGGAAUAUUGGACAAUGGGGGGAACCCUGAUCCAGCCAUGCCGCGUGUGUGAAGAAGGCCCUCGGGUUGUAAAGCACUUUCAGUGAGGAAGAACGCCUGGUGGUUAAUACCCAUCAGGAAAGACAUCACUCACAGAAGAAGCACCGGCUAACUCCGUGCCAGCAGCCGCGGUAAUACGGAGGGUGCGAGCGUUAAUCGGAAUUACUGGGCGUAAAGCGCGCGUAGGUGGCUUGAUAAGCCGGUUGUGAAAGCCCCGGGCUCGACCUGGGAACGGCAUCCGGAACUGUCAAGCUAGAGUGCAGGAGAGGAAGGUAGAAUUCCCGGUGUAGCGGUGAAAUGCGUAGAGAUCGGGAGGAAUACCAGUGGCGAAGGCGGCCUUCUGGACUGACACUGACACUGAGGUGCGAAAGCGUGGGUAGCAAACAGGAUUAGAUACCCUGGUAGUC